rnacentral:rRNA from 1 species
GAUGAACGCUGGCUACAGGCUUAACACAUGCAAGUCGAGGGGAAACGACGGGGAAGCUUGCUUCCCCGGGCGUCGACCGGCGCACGGGUGAGUAACGCGUAUCCAACCUGCCUCUGACUGAGGGAUAACCCGUCGAAAGUCGGCCUAAUACCUCAUGGUAUCGUCUGCGGGCAUCCAACGACGAUUAAAGAUUUCAUCGGUCAGGGAUGGGGAUGCGUCUGAUUAGCUUGUUGGCGGGGUAACGGCCCACCAAGGCUACGAUCAGUAGGGGUUCUGAGAGGAAGGUCCCCCACAUUGGAACUGAGACACGGUCCAAACUCCUACGGGAGGCAGCAGUGAGGAAUAUUGGUCACUGGGCGAGAGCCUGAACCAGCCAAGUAGCGUGCAGGAAGACGGCCCUACGGGUUGUAAACUGCUUUUAUGCGGGGAUAAAGUGAGGGACGUGUCCCUCAUUGCAGGUACCGCAUGAAUAAGGACCGGCUAAUUCCGUG